rnacentral:rRNA from 1 species
UACAGAGGUCUCAACCGUUGUUCGGAUUCAUUGGGCGUAAAGCGUGCGCAGGCGGUUUUGUAAGCCGGAUGUGAAAUCCCCGGGCUUAACCUGGGAAUGGCAUUCGGGACUGCAAGGCUGGAGUGCGGCAGAGGAGACUGGAAUUCCUGGUGUAGCAGUGAAAUGCGUAGAUAUCAGGAAGAACACCCGUGGCGAAGGCGGCUCUCUGGAACGCAACUGACGCUGAGACGCGAAAGCGUGGGGAGCAAACAGG